rnacentral:lncRNA from 1 species
AUUAUAUUGUGUUUAAAGUUAGAAGAUUAAAUCAAGAGAUACUUUAUUCAAACAAAACUUUUAAGGUUACUGCAAUGCAUUACAAUGAAAUUUCUAUUAAACGGUAAACGAUAAUUCUAUCAAAAGUUAACUUGCCCAUUUACAAUAAUUCAUGUUAUUGCUGUAGAUGCAAAAGGUAUAGAAUAAAAUUUCACCUGUAUUUUAUGGUACUUGAUAUUGUUUUUAUAUUUUAAAAGAAUUGGACAAGUGAUGCUGUAAUUAUCAUCCAGAAAUUAGAGUUGUAACGGACAGACAGACGGACAGAUAGAUAUGUGUAAUACAAUUGAUAUAACCUUCAAGUUGUAGACUUCUACAUACUAGUAUAUCAUUGGAUAAAAGUGAACACCCUGCCACUGUAUAUUUUACACACGGGCAAUGAGAGUGCUAUGUUUCAAAUAUACGGUUAGUAGUAAAGUUAGGACCCUUUAAAAAAUACCCAGAAUAUCAUUGAAAUCUUAUCCUGUAACUGUAAUCAGAAUAUUGCAUGUUGUCAUGCAGUAUUAUAUUGUUAUUGUUAAAUUUAGUUUUUGUUUAAACCGGUGCAAGUGUGUUUCAACAAAUAGAAGACUUGGUCAGUGUAAUAGU